rnacentral:lncRNA from 1 species
GCGGGUUGUUCAGUUGUCAUACUCGAUGAUCCUGUGUAACACUAGCACACAAAUCAAACGCAACAGAAAGUGCAAAAUAAAACAAUCUAGAUUGAAUUAAGCAAACCUAAACAGAGAACUCUAGUUUGUUUUUUUUUUUUUUUUGAUUUUAUAGGUGAUUAAAACUUAAACAGAAACAACUAAUGCAAGCAAGACAAUUUUUUUUUUUUUUUUUUUUGAUUUUAUAUGGUUGAAUGAGACUAAGCAAAAACCUAAAGAUUUUAAAAAGAAAUAAAGGAACGACUGAACCUGAUUAGGAGCCUUAGGCUCUGAUACCAGAUGAUGUAGGCUCGAGGGUCACGGCUAACAAUCGAGCGGAACGAGCGGCGAACAAGCAAGUGAUCGAAGCUGCGGUCGGACAAGAUCGGAAACUCUACUUGGUAGUAACUAGGUAACGAUGGACUAAGCAACUGGUCGUACAACUCUCUUUGCUUAGCUAAGGGAUGGAAUCGAGGUGGAAGCGAGAUGGAGCUUGCUCAAUUGGUCGUAAGACUCUCCUUGAACAAACAAGUGGAUGGAAUGGGUGAAUAGGUAACCGGAUGGAUCGAUGGACGCCACAAAGCUUAUGAAAGAGCUUUGAUAAGUCGAGAACUCAAGCUUCAAUGGAUUCGCACACAAGGAAGACAAGAGCGGCUAGGUUUUUCUUUGCUAAGAAAAUUCGGUUUUUAUUUCAUAAAACGUGUAGUGUUACAAGCUGAGAAGGAGCUUUAUUAAUAGCUCGACAGCCUAGGGCUUCUAUGGCCGAAAUUAAAGCAUAAAACUACAGACACUUCAAGACUCUAAAACUAAAAUGUUGGGACUUAAAGAAAACUACGAAGCGUUCAUAAAGAAAAUGGAAAUCCUGCAAAACAGAAAAAGGAAACUUGUGAGUUUAAGUGUUUAUUCAAAAACUCACCUUGGGGAUUCGAACCUUGGUUCCUUAGCUAGUAACGUCGCCAUUCAAGGUCUUGGAAAUGGUGAAGAGAGCAGUCUCUUGGGUGCCUUGUAGAACCGGCAAGAAAGCAAUGCGUGGAGUCUUGAUUAGUGUGCUUGAAGUUCCUUUAUCUUUGUCUUCCUCUUGUUGCUUGUUGCUUAAGUCUUGUUCUUUAUUUGGCUCUAUAGGAGUUUCUUGGCCGAUCUCAGUUGCAAGCAGUGCUCCCUUAAGCUCUUCGUGAUCCAAUAAGGUGAUUAAGCUCUCCACGGAUUUGUUGAAGUCUUCCCUUGCACUUUUGUAACCGGACCUAGUCCUUGGAGAUCUUCUUAGUUGUGGAACGGCUACGAAUUCUUUCUCGGGAUCAAGUGGUAUGGUAAGGAGGUCCUCAUCAUCUUCCAAUUCACCUUCCGCGAGAAGCUAGACUUGGUGGUCCUGUUCAGUACCGUUGGAUGUAUCCUUUUGAGCGGUAUAUGUUCCAUCUUAAGAAGAAGGUAAAAAACUUAAGCAAAGUUGAAGGCUCGAUUGUGGCACAGAGUAUAAAUGAAGAAGCUUUAAACUUUGACGAAUUUUACUUUCCUGCCCAAGUUCGUACGAAGAGACGACGAACUACUCGUUAUGACGAUGGAGGCGAAAGGCCUAGACGACGGAUUUUUGGAUUAGGAAAUCUCUCCCAAAUAAGUUCUUCUUCUCGUUCAUCAGGUUACUCAUAUGGUCCCAUUCAAGAGUUCCAACAAGCUAUAAAAGACAAAGAUGAGCGGAUUGCGACUUUGGAGAAGCAAAUGCAAGAACAAUUAGCAGAGAACAAGAAGAGAGACGAGGACCUAGCAGCACUCAUGAGCGAGAUGCGAUCGAAGAUGUCGUCUUCUUAGAUUUUUAUAAAUUUCAGUAUUUUCAAGAAUAAAUUUCUAGUUUUUUAAACAAUUUAGUGUUUUCAGUUUUGAAAAUAUUUAUUAAAAAUUCUGAAUUUAGAAAUUUAAAUAUUUAUGCAUUUUAUUAAUUAAUUUGGAUUUUGAAUAUAAAUUAUUUGCCUAAAUUAUUUUUUAAAAUAAAAUUUUAAUUAUCCGUCGGAAAUCCGUCGGUUAACACGUAGAAUAUUUUCCGAGAUUAUGUCGGUAAACCGUCGGUUAAGACGGAGAAUGUUGGACCUUCGUUUUCGAGAUUCCGUCGGUAAUCCGUCGGUUAUAACGGAAACUUUUUUUCAAAACUCCGUCGGUAAUCCGUCAGUUAUGACGGAAAAUAUUUUUCGAGUGUCCGUCGGUAAUCCGUCGGUUACGACGGAGUUUUUUGGAUUUUGGUUUUCGAGAUGCCGUUGGUAAUCCGUCGGUAAAAUAUAAAAUGUAUUGACGGAUUACCGACGGAAAACUGAUGCCACGGUCCGUUGGUAAUUACCGAUGAAUUACCGACGGAUUAUUUUUACCGACGCUCUAGAACCGACAGACGAAUCCGUAAAUAAUCCGUCGGAAAAGACUGUUUCCGACGGAUUACAGACCGAUAUGACAGUCGAUUUGAAGCUGUUUUCUUGUAGUGAUUGGCUUGACAAUAGUUUCCACCGAUCGGGAUGUUCCUGAAAUGUCCACCACGAGUAUUGAAUCUAAUGACAAUUCUUGCAGAGCAACGCGGGUCAGAUAAGCUUUAGUUAGUUGUAAUAACAGAAUUUGGUGUUGUCUGAGUAGUUACACUACUUGGGUGGGUGUAACUCAGACAACACCAAGUUCUGUUAUUACAACUAACUAUAGCCAAUCUCAGCUACGUGAAUUCAGAACAUUAUCAAAAAUAAGAUGAAAAGCUUAUAUUUUCAAUUAACAUUUAAGAAAGUAGCAGAUUUGGCUCUGGGAAAUCUGAGAUUAACAUGUUAUUUCUUGCCAACAGUUUAUAGCUAUUUAUAUUGUUUUUUCAUGGCUCUUCCCAUAUAUUCAUAAUUACCUAGAAAUACAUAAAUUAGUAAUACAUUCACCUUUUUAUCCACAAAAAUUAAUUUUAUUUUAUAGCAUAUGGAAAUUCAUUAUAUUGUUGAAAAAAAAUCAUACAUAUUGACUAAAAUUAGACUAUAAAUAUUAUAUUUGAAAGAAAAUUAAUUUUAACUAAAUUUCUAAGUCUUACAUCAUUAUUGAUUGCCAAUCAAUGAUUGAUCAUAUCAGAUAUGUAAGCUCAUUUUAAUUAGAUUAUAUAUCUACUUUAUCACAUUAUAAUAAUAUUUUAUUUAUUUCAUAUAUCAUAUUUAUAUGUGAUUGACACUUUCAGAUAAUUAAUAAAUGUUUUUUACCAAAAAAAUGAUAAUAAUAAAUGUAUAUUUAUAAUAAUAAAUGUAUAUUUAUAAAUAUUAAUUUUAUUUAUAUUUAUUAACUUAUAUUGCAAUAAUUAUAUAUAUAAUUAAUAUAUGUCAAACAUACAUAAAUUUUGUAGAAUAGAGUUGCUUGAUCCCCAAUUUUAACUAAAUCAUUAAAAACAGAGACAAACUGUAGAUUAUAUAAAACCUUAAUAAAUUUGGUAAAAAUAAAGUUACUUGAUCCUUAAUUUCAACUAAAUUAUUAAAAACAGAGUCAAGAUGUAGAAAACCUUAAUAUAUGUGGUAAAAAGAAAGUUACUUAACUUUUCAAGAAGUUAUCAAGUGGCAUGCAUGGGCAGUUAGGCGUAAAUGGAUACAAUUUUCUAAGUCUCUAUUGAAAACUACAUAUCGAUUCAUGUUGGACGUAAUUUGUUUCUCUUACAAUUUUUGUAUGUAUUGGGCUAAGCCCAUCAUAGUUUUAUGACGGUUUAUUAUGCGAUUAGGUCGAACUAUAUUCUACAGUUCAUGGCUUAUAUAUAUUGAUGUUCAAUGUACCUUAAACCUCAAGAAAUCACAUUUAUACAAUACAAAGGUUUCUUGACAUGGUAUCAGAGCCAUAAAACCUAAAACUACAAAAGGUUUUAUUGUUCUCGAUCUUGUGAUCUACAACAAUGUCUUCUUCUUCUUCUUCUUCUUCUACAUCCUCUUUGUCAUCAGCCUUAACAACAACCAUCCCUCCACUACGCGUUGAAACUCGUCGCACCAUCUCCCCCUAUGAUCUCACAUCCGGCGACAAAGCGGGUACUUUGAUCUCUAAACCGCUGUUGCGUGGUCCUAACUACGAUGAAUGGGCCAAUAAUCUUCGAGUAGCUCUCACGGCAAGAAAGAAAUUUGGGUUCGUUGAUGGAUCUAUCCCACAGCCACUAGAACACGACGUUGAUUUUGAAGAUUGGAUUGCAAAUAAUGCUUUAGUGCUGUUGUGGAUUUAACUAACCAUUGACGAGCGUCUCUCCUCAUCCUUGUCUCACAUCAACAAUUCUCAUGACCUUUGGAUCCACGUUCAGAAACGGUUUUGUGUGAAAAACGGCCAACGUGUUCAACGUCUCAAAACCGAAUUGGCUACUUGUCGACAAAAGGGUCUAGCUAUUGAGUCUUAUUAUGGAAAACUUACGCAGCUGUGGGGAAGUCUUGCCGAUUAUCAAAUAGCUAAAACCAUGGAAGAAGUAAGAAGAGAACGUGAGGAGGAUAAACUUCAUCAAUUUCUCAUGGGGCUCGAUGACAGUUUAUAUAGCGCUGUUAAUUCUGCUCUGCUUUCUAGACUUCCACUACCUAGUCUCGAAGAAGCAUACAACACUUUGAUACAAGAUGAAGAAUCAAAACUCUUGAGUCGCGUACAUGAAGAACGAACCGACGACGUCAGCUUUGCUGUUCAAACAACCCUUCAACGAAAACCUUAUGAAAACAAAUCAACACUGGUUUGUAGUGUUUGUGGUGGUACUGGUCACCUCGGUGAAAACUGCUUCCGCAAAAUAGGUUACCCCGAUUGGUGGACAGACAAAUCCUUGCGACCCAAACCAGGCGCCAACACAAACAAAGGAAACUCUUCCUCCGGAGGAGCUGGUCGUGGUGUUUCAACUACUUCAGUGGGCUCGAUGUUCGCUAAAGGAUCGAAUUCUGCUCAAGUGAAUACUAUUUUUACACCACCAGCGCAUGGAAGUCAUCCAAUACCCACCACAAACAGCUCACUUUUGACAUUACCAGACCGUGUCGGCGUGAGCGGUUUAAGCAACGAUGAUUGGCAGCUCUUGCAGCGCAUCCUUGAUGAACGCAAAUCUCACCCGACCAAACACCACACGGGUAUGUAUUUUCUUGAAUCUUUGAUUAUUGACACAGGUGCCUCUAAUCACAUGACCGGUUCUCUUGAUUUUUUGAUUGAUAUUCGGGAUAUGACACCGGUUCUUAUCAAAUUACCGGAUGGUCGGUUCACUACAGCCACCAAACAAGGCUGUGUAAUCCUUGGUUCUUCUUUAAGUCUUCAGAAUGUGUUUUUUGUUGACGAGCUGAAGUGUCAUCUUAUCUCCGUUUCCCAGUUGACUAGAGAACGUGGUUGCGUUUUUUAGAUUACUGAUCGGCUUUGUAUUAUUCAGGAUCGCAUCACGAAAAUCCUGAUUGUUUUGUUGACAAUGGUCUUUAUUUUUUUCGAGGAGUGGACGUUGCAGCCGCUGCUCAUCAUGUGGAUUCAUCUUCUACUGAAGUUUGGCAUUCUCGGUUGGGACAUCCCUCAUCUAGUGUUUUAGAUAAGUUGCAGUUUUUGGAUUCUAAAAAUAAAUUUGACUCAAAGGAGUGUGAUGUUUGUAUUCGAGCUAAACAAACCAGAGAGUCUUUUCCUUUAAGUUAUAAUAAGACAAAUGUUGCUUUUGAACUUAUUCACUGUGAUCUAUGGGGACCAUAUCGUGUUUCCUCUAUUUGUGGUUCUCGGUAUUUUCUCACUAUACUCAAUGAUUAUUCUCGUGCCGUCUGGAUUUACUUAUUACCUUCGAAGACAGCAGCACCAACACAUCUCAAGAAUUUUUUAGCUCUUGUUGAACGACAAUUUUCUGCUAAAGUGAAGACGAUACGCAGUGAUAAUGGGUCUGAAUUCAUUUGCUUAAAAGAUUUUUUCUCUAACCAAGGCAUUAUUCAUGAAACAUCUUGUGUUGGCACGCCCCAGCAAAAUGGUAGAGUUGAACGGAAUCAUCGUCAUAUUCUAAACGUCGCCAGAGCACUUCUUUUCAGGCUAAUCUUCCCAUUGAAUUUUGGGGUUACUGUGCAUUAACUGCCAGUUAUCUGAUCAAUCGCACUCCCACGCCAAUUCUUGAUGGAAAAACCCCGUUCGAGCUCAUCUACAACAGGUCACCACCACUGAAUCAUCUAAGAGUGUUCGGUUAUUUAUGUUACGUUCACAACCAAAAACACGUCGGUGAUAAAUUUGCACCUCGGAGUGCUAAAUCUCUCUUUCUUGGCUACCGUUUUGGCAAAAAGGGAUGGCGUGUUUACAACCUUGAGACAGGUACUGUCUCUGUCUCACGCGAUGUUAUCUUCCAAGAAACUGUUUUUCCGUUCGCAAACCCUCCCAUUUCUUCACCACCACCGGCUGCCUCACUUCCGGCUACAGCUCCUCUUGCCGGUAUCACUGACUCAUCUACUCCACCUGAACCACCGCCUCUGGUUUCAUCUGUCUUGCCACCUGCAGAUACUCUUAUCACAUCGCCUCAAGAUUCUCUAGCUCCGUCUUCACCACUAGUUAAUGAUCUCGCCGGACAAUGCGAUUCACCAUCUCAUGACCCUGUUUCUCCAACUACUACUGUCGAAACAGAUUCCUCUGCACCAACUGAAUCCUCCGACGAGACUUAUACUCCUUCUUCUUCCUCUCAUGAUGACGAUUCUCCUGAUGACGACUCUCCCCCAGAACAGCUCGGUUUUGGCCAUCGCAAGAAGAACCCCCCAGUCAAGCUAGCCGAUUACGUCGCCUCUCUUGUCUACACGCCCUUGCCAUCGGUCACUCCGUAUCCUAUUGAUAAUUUUCUCUCCAGCUCCCAAUUUUCAGAAACUGAUCAAGCUUAUUUGUUUGCCAUCACUUCAGGCAAAGAACCUAAAAGUUAUAAUGAGGCCGUUUUGGAUGAAAAUUGGCGUCUUUCUGUCUUUGCUGAAAUUCAAGCUUUAGAAGCCUUACAAACUUGGACUGUGAAGAUCUUCCACCUGGUAAGAAGCCUAUUGGAUGUAAGUGGGUUUUUCGUUUAAAAUACAAUGCUGAUGGUAUGCUUGAACGUCACAAAGCUCGCCUUGUCGUUCUCGGUAAUAAUCAAACAGAGGGUGUUGAUUAUGAUGAGACCUUUGCUCCUGUUGCAAAAAUGAUUACCGUGAGAGCUUUUCUUCAACAAGCAGCUUCUUUAGACUGGGAAGUACAUCAAAUGGAUGUUCAUAAUGCGUUUCUUCAUGGUGAUCUUGAUGAAGAAGUUUUUAUGAAAUUUCCUCCUGGAUUUCGUACAGAUGAUAACACUAAGGUCUGUCGUCAUCGCAAGUCUCUUUAUCGUUUGAAACAGGCUCCUUGUUGUUGGUUUGCCAAGCUUGUUUCCGCUCUAAAAUUUUUUGGAUUUAUUCAAGACUACUCUGAUUAUUCACUGUUUGUUUGGCUACCGACACAACUCGUCUUCACGUUCUGGUUUAUGUUGACGAUUUGAUCAUCACCGGGAGUUCUGUUCAUGUUAUUAACGAGUUCAAACACUACCUCAGUUCUUGUUUUAACAUGAAAAAUUUGGGAGUCUUGCGGUAUUUCUUAGGUAUUGAAGUGGCUUGCAGUUCUGCUGGUUUCUAUCUUUGCCAACGCAAGUAUGCCCUCGACAUAAUUGCUGAAACUGGUAAACUCGGUGCUAAACCAACCAUAUUUCCGUUAGAACAAAAUAACAAACUUCCUUAUGCCAAAGGAGAUUUUUUUCCGGAACCGUCACGUUAUCGACGACUUGUUGGACGUGUCAUCUAUCUUGGAAACACACGACCGGAGCUUUCAUAUGAGAUUCAUAUUUUAUCUCAGUUCAUGGAUGCUCCCCAACAAGCUCAUUGGAAUGCUGCUCUCCGUGUGGUGUGUUAUUUAAAAAACAGUACAGGUCAGGGUAUUCUACUACGUGCGAAUACACCUCUCGUCUUAACAGCUUGGUGUGAUUCCGAUUAUGCAACAUGUCCUUCCACAAGAAGAUCUCUCACUGGUUGGUUUAUUCAGCUAGGUGACUCUCCUUUGUCUUGGAAAACAAAUCGUCAUAAGGUUGUCUCUCGUUCUUCAGCCGAAGCUGAAUAUCGCGCUAUGGCGGACACGGUCAGCGAACUGUUAUGGUUACGACAGCUCCUCCCUUUCCUUGGCAUUGCGAUUACAGCUCCUAUUACUCUCUACUCCGAUAGUCUUUCUGCGAUCAUGUUGGCUGCCAAUCCAGUUUUUCAUGCUCAAACAAAACAUCUUGGUAUCGAUUGCCACUUCAUACGUGACGAGAUCAUUCGGGGUGUCAUUGCUACCAAACAUGUUUCUACUACUACUCAACUUGCAGAUAUCAUGACAAAGGCAUUGGGACACAAACAUUUUCAAGAGUUCUUGGUCAAGUUGGGUGUUUGUAACCUCCACACUCCACCUUGAGGGGGGGUAUUGGGCUAAGCCCAUCAUAGUUUUAUGACGGUUAAUUAUGCGAUUAGGUCGAACUAUAUUCUUUAGUUCAUGGCUUAUAUAUAUUGAUGUUCAAUGUACCUUAAACCUCAAGAAAUCACAUUUAUACAAUACAAAGGUUUCUUGACAGUAUGUUUUAAUAAGUACUCUGAACAUUAGUUAGUCCAAGAUCACCUAAUUGUAAAUUUAUAACCACGAUAAAUAUAUUAGCAAUGAACAAGAGGCAGAUUGCAAAGAAACGAAUGGCAAUUACUAGAUAAUUAUUAAUUAAUAAAGCUUUUAGAAUGAAAAAUAAGAAAAAAAAAAAAAUUAAUAUUGAGAAAAUGGAUAAUUAUAUUAUAUUAUACAAAAAACAAAGAAGAAAAAGACCAGACAAGCAACUUUAUUGUUGAAUCUUUUGAGAAACAAAAGAUACAAACAUUAAUAACCAAACAAAGAAAGGAAACAUAAAAAGGGAAAUAAAACUGAGACAAUUUUGACUUAUUAUUAUUAUUAUUAGAAAAAGAAAACCGGUAAUACGGUUAAAGAUUCAAGGACCAUGUUUCUCCAAGUGACAAGUAUGCUUAAUCACACGGUUGUAUUUGAGCCUCUUGAUGUUGUCGCUGGUCACAGUCAUGUCUUCAGGUCCUCUGCUUCCACUGGUGCUGGCGCCAGGAUCCAUGAUUGCAGUGUUGUUGAAGCUCAGCUGGCUCCACUCGUAUUGAUCCACUUGACUUAUGAGAUAACCGUCAGGAUUAUCAACAAAACCACCACCAAUUGAUUGGUUUAUCAUAGGGUUAACCGAUCCAACAUCAUAGAAAUCUUGUUCAAAUGACACAUCUUGGUAAUCUAUGAGAUAAUUUGGUAGGAAACUCUGAAAUGGAGGCACAUUUGCUAACAUACCACCGUGAAGAUCAGGGAAAGGACCGAAAUGGUUCCUAACAGGAGCAGCAGCACCAAAAGAUCCCACAAAGUCGUUGUUUCCUUGAAGGUAUGGGAAAGGUUGAGGAUUGAAUUGAUGGAUGUCAAGAGGAAUCAUACCGCGGGAAGCCGGAGGUUGCUCCACCCUUGCCUUCUUGAUCUUACGAGAACCCCCACCAAUUGGUACGUUCCUCAAUGCCCCACCAUGAGUCCAGUGCCUACGACAGUUCUUGCAGUUGUAGCGCGGCUGGGACUUGCGGUAGUUGUUGAAGUAGCAGAACUUCGUGUUGUCCGAGUGACACCUUGGACACACUCGGUGUGGGGGCUUCUCACCAUUCCUUGGGUUGGUGUCUUCCUCGGCGAACAGUAGCAAGUUAUCCAUCUCUCUCAAGAAGUAGUUGUUUAUAAGAAGAAGUUGUUGUUGUUGUUGUGAUCUUUGGUGUUGGGAGGAUGCCAUCUUAUAUAGGUUCUUUGGGGAGUGCAAAUUAAGAAGUUGUAGUUUGGGAGUUUAAGAAAGUGAGAUUGAGAGAGAAACGUGUCAAAGAUUGUUUAUUAGUAAAUCUGAAGAUUUAUCUACAUACCAUAAACCUAUGUCUAAGCUUAGGCAAAAUCUAAGGCUUUCUUAUUUUCUUACUCUUGUUUGUAUAUGAGAAGUGGAAAUCAAAAGAUAUAUGAUUAAAUGAUUUAGUGUCAUAAACUAGAAACAAAAUCUAAGGUAUUUGAGACUGUAAUGACUAAUUUAAGCUAAAUCAAGCAUAGAUUGUAUUGUAAAUUUACUAUGUGAGGUAGUCAUUAUAAGCGCGUGUGCUCACGUUCUAUCUCAUAAUGAGUUAGAUACGUUUUUGUAUAGAGAAAUAUGUAAAAUAGUUACACAUGGCUAGAACAUAGAGACUCCAUAAUGGAAAAUGACCUAAUUUUCGAAAUCAGACAAACCAUCUAAGUAAUUAACUUUAAAUCUUUAAUAUAGAUUUACUAGUAUGAUUUGUUAAGAAAGAAAAUAUAAUACGUGUAAGCGAGUGCGGUUCACCCUUCUUCUUAUUGGCGCAUCAUAAAUUUAUUAUAAAAGAUUUGAUUUAGAAAUUGAAAAUUUAUUAUUAUAUUUUCAUGAAAAAAUUAAUAUAUUUUAAAGGGAGAAUUACUUAGAUAGACCAUAAAAGUAGAUUUAUUCCUUAAACAGCCAAAUCUUUUUUUUAUUCCUUAGAUGUUUAGUGGGAUGGGUGUAAUCACAAUAAACACCCUUGGUCUGUUUUCACUUAAAAUUGCCAUGUCAGAUCCGAAAAUGCUACGUCAUACCUGAAAUUGCCACAUCAUCAUCGACAGUUAUUAUCUCAUUAAUUAUCAAAAAGGAAAGUGAACAGUUUCUUUCUCGUCACUGUUUAGAAUUGGAAAAAAAAAAAAAAAUUCUCUCUCGCGUUCGAAAGAGAAGAAACUCGCCGCCGACAAACACAGUACUCGCCGCCGACGAACACAGUACUCGCCGCCGACGAACACAAUACUCGCUGCCGACGAACCAUUACGCUUUCUCUCUUUCGCUCUAAAAACUCGCCUUGAGUCGCUGUGAAGAGAAGAAGUCGCCGUGAGUGAGUCGUCGUUUUUCUUGCUACAUUGGAGACCUUUCGUAUUUCGGUAAGUGUCGAACUGUAUUUCAAUUUUUUCCGACUAUAAUCGUGUUUGUUUUUGCUUAUUAUGACUGAUUGUCGCCGUCGUUUGCUCUAUUCAUUCGACGGCUGAGUUACAGUAUUCUUGACGGCUGAUUUGUCAGAUCUAUCGAUUCGACGAUUGAGUUACUUAUCAUGUUAUGGCUGAGUUAAUUAUCAUGUUAUGGCUGAGUUGUCUUAGUUUGUUAUUGAUGCGGCUGAGUUAUAAUAUUUGUUAUGGCUCACUUAUUAACUUGUUUUAUGUUGUGGCUGAGUUAUAGUUUAUGUGAUGGCUGAGUUAUAGUUUAUGUGAUGGCUGAGUUAUAGUUUAUGUUGUGGCUGAGUUAUAGUUUUCGUUGUGGCUGAGUUAUAGUUUAUGUUGUGGCUGAGUUAUAGUUUAUGUUGUGGCUGAGUUAUUGUGUACAUUAUGGCUGAGUUAUAGUUUAGUUGUGGCUGAGUUAUUGUGUACAUUAUGGCUGAGUUAUAGUUUAGUUGCGGCUGAGUUUGUUGUAUGUUGCGGCUGAGUUAUGAUAUGUUUAUACUUAUUUUAGAUGGCUGCAGAACAAGCAAUGCGUUACCCACCGAGACUUUACGAAGAAGGGAUGUCUAGCCUCAAGAAUAAAAGCAUGUGUACCUAUUUUAGGAUGGCAGAUUUCCCUGGGGUUAGGGAAUCAAUUGGACAAGACGCGUGGGAUGAGAUCAAGCAAUUACCUCUUGGAAUAGUUGCUAAAUUAGUUGAAAGCAAAUUCGUUUGGUCUGCUAAGACUGUACACUAUUUAUUGUGUAGACAGUUGAGAAUAAAACAGAAAGAGAUUUGGUGUUUAGUUGGUGGCCAGCCUAUAAGGUUUGGUUUGAAUGAAUUCGCUCACCUCACUGGGUUAAACAUAGAUCCAACUCCAUCAGAGAAGUUUGAACCUUCAGUUGACUACAAACAGUUCUUAACAGAAGAAUUGAAAGUUCCUGGUGGGGAAGGUCCAACAUAUGAUGAGCUACUUAAAGGAUUAUCAGUGUGCCGGUCAUGGUCUGUUGAGAAGCGCAAAUGGUUGGGGCUAUUGAUUUUUUUAGCCAUUGGACUUUACUGCGUGCAUCAUAACUCACGGAUACCAUUUGAAGCUGCAAAAAUAGUUUCUGAUGAUAAAGCCGUGAAGGCUUAUCCAUGGGGUCGGGUCGCAUUUGAGACUAUGGUUGAUAAUGUCAAGUGCUUGAAUCCUAGAGGUAGUUCGUACACCCUUGGUGGGCCGGUUUACAUGUUACAAGCUUGGGCAUAUGAUUCUAUCUAAUGCUUAGGAGAGCGAUUCGGGAAUUUAGUCGAGAAUGAAGAGAUCCCGUUGUUUCGAUGGCCUGGAACCCGUACACGUUCAGCAUUAGAUGUGGCCAUUGCUGAAGAUAUCAAAAAGUAUAGUGAGGUAAGAUUAUCUGUUUUCAAUGGCUGACUUAUAUUUUAGUGAUCUCUAUUUUAUGUUAUGACUGAGUUACGGUUUAGUUAUGGCUGAGUUAUAAUUUAGUUACGGCUGAGUUAUAAUUGAGUUAUGGCAGAAUAAUAUUUAGUUGUGGCUGAGUUAUUUUUAUUUAUGGCUGAGUUAUAUAUUAGUUAUGGCUGAGUUAUAGUUUAGUAAUGGCUGAGUUAUGUAUUUGUUUUGUCUUUAUGAGUUAUACUUAUUGAUGUUUGUCUUCUAAUGUAGUUCCGUGUGAGUAAAAUGGUGAUGAAGGGUGAUGUAAGUGAGCUUUUUCAUACGUGGCCAAAUCAGACAGAAGAAGACCCAGAACUUAACAACUUGGUCAAUGACAUACAUGAGGAUAAAGGUGGAAAAGUUAGAGCAGCGGUUGAGUCUGAAACUCCCGCUAAGAAGCAGAAAGUUGAAAAGGGUGGUGAUUCUGGUGCAGAAGAUACACAGAAGAAGAAGAAGAAGAAGAAGAAGAAGAUAAACGAGCCUCAUGAACAGAAGAAUAAGAAGAAGAAGAGUGAGGAGCUAAAGGUAAGUUACAUGUUAUAUAGUCAUAUAUAUUUGUGUAUGUUUUAAUUAUCAAUUUUUGUGUAUGUUUUGCAGGCUGAUAGUGAAGAGGACGAUGCUGGUGGAAAGGCGUCACUUAAAUUACUCGUGGGUAUGGUUUCUGAAAUGAAAUCAAGUAUUGAGACCAUGAAAUCAAAGGUUGAGACCUUUGAUGAUAAGUUCACACAUGUUGAUGAAGAAUUCAUCAAGAUAAAAGGCCUAAUUUCCUUCGUUGCCAGAGGAGGAGGCCUAGCUGGUCUCAUGAGUGGAGGCAAAAACAUUCAGAAUGACGACAAAUGACGACACAUUACCACUCAAGAACAUCGCCAAUAUCAAGAGCAUCUCUAAUAUCAGAGUCAGUGAUGCUUUUGAGAAAAAAAAGAACAGACACCUGAAAUUCUCAAGAAACAGUCAAGCCAAGACUACUCUGUUACUAGUCCCCCGGUAAGCUGAGUUCUCUUAGUUUUAUGUAAUGGCUGAGUUAUUCGAUGUUUCUACUUAGUUGUUUAUGUUAUGGCUGAGUUAUCAAAUACAUUACGGCUGAGUUGUUGAAUGUUAUGGAUGAGUUAUGAGUUAUGUUAUGGCUGAGUUAUACCUCUGUUUUAGCUGAGUUGUUUUAUGUUACGGCUGAGUUAUACCUCUGUUAUGGCUGAGUUGUUUUGUGUUAUGGCUGAGUUAUACCUUUGUUUUGGCUGAGUUGUUUUAUGUUAUGAAGUUUCAGGAGAAGAAAAUUCAGGAAGAAGAAGAAGAAGUUCUGGAGAAGAUGUGCCGAAGGAACGUACCGGGAAAGCAUAUUUGGUGUGAGUGUCGAGCGUCACAACUUCUGGUGUUGAUCGACACCAAUAUCUGACGGCAAUUGAAUUUCUCGCUUAAUUGAAGUUCAGAAGAUUUGCAGAUUCGGCCCAGAAGUUUCCCUUAUUUGCAAUUAAGCCCAGUUCGUGGUCAAGACAUAUAUAUUGAGUUUUUAGGAUUUUGUUAAAACUUAAGCUUUAUUUUGGAGAGAGAGAUUUGUAGAAAGUCAGGAGAGACGAAUCAAAACCUCAUUCAGAGAAGAUUCAGAACUCCUUUACUUCUUCUAUUACUUUCUUUUAUGAUAUCUAUUUUAUUCAUGAUGUUUGUUUCAUUCACCAUGUCUGAGUAGAUCUCUUGUUAGGUUUAGGGUUUUCAAAGGAAUUCAUGAAUUGUUAGGUUGUUAUAUUGUUAGGAUUGAAUCAAUAGAGUUCUUCAUCUAGAUUGUGGUUAAUUUUUUCUAGAGUAGUGAAACCAAACUAGAAUCUGAUCUUAGGUUAAUUGGUAGACACAAAAGUGUUAUUGAUUUCCUAAAAAUAAUCUAGAUGAGCAAAAUACCUAUUCGCAAAGUGAUUUGGUUUAGGGAUUUUGUGAACUUAUCAAAUCUGAAUUAAAUGCAUGUCUUAAACUUAUAAAUUUGCAAAGAGAUUUGGAAUUUAGGGUUCUAGACAUAGAUAGUGUUUGCAACGAAAGUUGAUUGAUUAUAAUUUUGUGAUUUGAGUUCAAGAACGGUGCUUUAUAAAUCCUGACAAUUAUUUAUUUGCAAUUCUGAAUUUCCUGAGAAUAUCUCUACGCCUAGUGUUUCCUCAUUAUUGUUUAAAAACCAAUCUUUAUUUUAAUUUUCUGUUUUUAUUUGAUUUAAAACCUGCUUGCUUAUCUUAAUUUUAAUACCGAAUAUUUACUGUGUAAUCUUUGAGUCUCUGUGGAUUCGAUCCCUAAGUACUACAGUGAUCUCUUAAUUGAGAGAGUAGCUCAGGGCAAAUUUGAGCCAAUCAAAUUUUGGCGCCGCUGCCGGGGACUCAAUUUUGAUUUCCAUUAGAUUAAGGUUAAAAGUUUAAUCUAAGUUUUUAAUUUUAUUUUGUUACUUACGUUUUUCUUUUCUCUUUUCUUUUUGGUGUUUCAGGUUUAUGCCUAAUACCAGAAGCCAGCAGAACAAAGAGUUAGUUGAUCUCAAAAAUUCAGAAAUAGUAGGUUUAGAAAGAGGAAUUCGAAAAGCUAAGAAAAGGGCAGCAAUGGCACCACCAGUGAUUCUAAUUCAAGAUGCUGAGGGUACUCUCAGAUAUGGAGAUGGCCAUGUGAGGAAUGCACAAGGGCAGAACCUGAAUGCUGACGGGACUGUAAUUCUUGAACCACUCGCCGUUGGGGUCGAGCGACACCAGGCGGGUGUCGAUCGACACCAGGCGGGUGUCGAUCGACACCAAGCCGCAGCUGACAAUGCACAGUUGGCGUUGAAUGCUGAAGCAGAGGAUGAGAACCGGCCUGCUCUGUUCUAUUCUAACUGCUCUGCUAUACGUCCUCCUCCAUUUCAAAGGAACAACUUUGAGUUGAAGCCUGGAUACUACACUCUUGUAGGACAACACCCGUUCCAUGGCCAUACUUAUGAGCAUCCAAUGGAUCAUAUUGAGAAGUUUGAGGAUCUGGUAUCUAGCAUCAAGGCUGAUGGUGUAUCUUCGGAUAUUCUGCUCGGCAAGCUUUUCCAGCACUCUUUAGUUGGAGAAGCACUAUCUUGGCUGAAGGAGUUGAAGCCUGGAUCUCUUACGUGCUGGAAGGAUGUAAAAGUUGAGUUCUUAAACAACUUUUAUGAUGAUGCGAGAUCAGAGGAGUUGCGAAAAAAGAUUUCUACCUUUUCUCAAGGGAUCUCAGAGGCUUUCAGGGCUGCUUGGGUGCGUUUUAAGGGUUAUCAGAGAGAUUGUCCACACCACGGGUAUGAAAAAUUUCAGCUUUUGGGCAUUUUCUAUAGAGGAUUGGAUUGGAGGUACCAGAUGGCUUUGGAUGCUGCUAGCAACGGUAACUACAACACAAGGUCUCCAGCUCAAGCCACCAAACUGAUUGAGAACUUAGCUUCCAUCAACAGUACUAAGGUCGCUGAUUUUGAGAAGAAGAAGCUAGCUCAAAACAUGGAUGGUGUUCAACUCGCUGACGUUAAGGUAAAGCUCGAUUCAGUGCAUAACCUUCUUGUUACUAAGAAGAGUGUUAAGUUUGCUGCUGAGGUUGAGGCUUUUGAAUCAUAUGAGGAUGAAAAAGAAGACGUGAACUACGUCAAUGGUGCUGGGUAUCAAGGUCAGAAGUUUGGUAACACACAGGGUAACCGAUACAACAAUGGGUAUGGUCAGAAAGGCAGCAGCAGUUUCAUCAGCACCGAUGGAAAUUCUUCUUACCACUCACCUCCCUCUCCAUCUACAGAUACUGAGAUGAAGUCCAUGCCAGAACAGAUUUUAGCGGGUCAGCAGAACAUGAAAGUGGACUUCAACGGGAAGAUGGAUGCCAUGUACACUAACUUGAAUGGCAAAAUCGAAGCUCUGAGCACUUAUACCAAUAAGUUAGAAACUCUUGCUGCACGGACUACUGGAUCUGUGAAGAAACGAGAAGGGUGUAAUGCCAUUUUGAUUAGAGAUGGAGAUAAUGUGUGGGAGGAGGAAACAAGAGAAGAUGAUGAAACUGCACUCGCACAGCAAGUGUCGCUCGACACCAUCUCACGGUGUCGAUCGACACUAACACCAGUUCUCGUGGAUUCGGCUCCCGACGGACCAAUAUCGACCGCGAUCGAGACCACCUUAUCGACACCAAAUCACUGUGUCGAGCGACACCUUCCCAGUGUCGAUCGACACCCCCUCACAGACACAACCGGAUUUUCCCGAAACUCCGCGACCAUCUACAGAAAAGAUCUACAAGCCUAAGGUUCCUUUUCCAAAGCCUAGGAAGUCUAAACAGGAGAUAGAAGAAGCUCGAUGCAAGGCAAUGAUGGAAAAGGUGGUUACUGAGAUACCUCUAGAUCAUGCAGAUCGUGAUUCACCUAUGCUUAAGCGGUGUGUUAAGAGGAUGGUCCAAAAUGAAGCGAGCCCUGAGGAAGGAUCUUUGCUGGCUAGAGACAUGGGUGCUAUCUUCUUGAAACAGACCCCACAGAGUAAGAAAGAAAAGAAGAAGAAAAUGUUUGUUUCCAAAAAAGUUAGUGCCAUGAUUCAGAGCAGGAUUCCGGAGAAGUAACCUGAUCCAAGAAGUUUCGUGCUAGACUGCUCUAUCUUCACAGAAAGAUUUCCUCACUCUCUUUAUGAUCUUGGCUCUGGUAUCAACUUGAUACCAUACUCUGUUGCUGUGAGACUUGGGAUGACAGAUUUCAAGCCGACUAGGAUCUCCUUAUCUUAGCUGAUAGAUCGAAAAGGAUUCCCAAAGGUAUUUUAGAGGAUGUUUUGAUAAGAGUUGGUGAAUGCAUGAUUCCUGCUGAUUUUGUUGUUCUUGAGUAUGCUAAAGAACCUAAGGAUCAUAUUAUCCUUGGGAGAUUUUCUUGGCUACCGUUGGUGCUCUUAUAGAUGUUCAGAAAGGAAAGAUUGGACUGCAUGUUGGUGAUUCGGUUAUGAACUUUGACAUGGAAAAGUUGAGAAGAGCACCUACUAUUGAUGGCCAGACUUGUUCUGUAGAGGAAGCCAUGGAUGACAAGGCAGUCGUAGGGUAUUCAGAAGACAUUAUUGCUAGUAAUCAUCUGUUUAGGACUAGGGACCAGAGCGGGGGUCUAGCUACUGUUAAGUUAUUGAAAGAUGAUGUUUUUGUGCUAGAGAUGAGGAUCGCUGAGACAAAUUGCAGAAAAAGUGCUGAACACAAGCAUCAGGCUCAGUGUCGAGCGACACCACCAUGGUGUCGAUCGACACCCCUCGCCACGACAGUCCGAACUUGCCAAAAAUGGAUGGUUUUCGGGUUGAUCUUACUACUGCAAGCUUGAGCCCUAAUCUGAAUCGGAAAGCUUCACCACCCAUACUCUAGAGACCUCGAGAAAAGCAAAGGUACGCAACUUCUUUACCCAAAUCUUCUCAUAUCAUCAAUAAGACUUUCAAAGGUACAAAGACUGUUUUGCAGUUAACAAGGCCACGAGAUUAUCGUAGAGCGCUUGUUGGUUCUUUUGAUGAUGUUGCAGGUAGAAGAAGUGUCCCACCCAUACCUAGACUAUGCCCUGCUGCUGUUCCUCGUGUACUUGGUCGAUCUCCUACACCUAAUGCUUAUAAACCACUUUGGAUGAUGAGACACUAUUCUCGGAGGCAUUUAGUGCCGCUUUCUGACCAACCGGAUGCAUGAACCCCGACAAAGUCAAGCUAAUGACUGAAAACAAGCGCUUAGUGGGAGGCAACCCACUUGUAAGUUUUUUUUCUAUUUCUUUUGCAUUUAUUUUUGUUUUAUUUUCUUUUAUUUGCCAAUCUUAGGAUUGGCAACACUAGGGACAGUGUUGUUUAAGUCUGGGGGAGGUAGUUACUAACAUUGUUUAUUCUUUUGGAGUUUUAUGGAGUCAGUCCAAAUUUUUAUUUUUAUUUUUUGUGUUUUAUUGAGUCAAAAUUUUUGUUGGGAACUAUGAACUCAGUCUAACGGUUUCUCUGAUUUGGAUUAACACUCUUAUGACUCUUGAUUAUGCUUGAUCUCAGAACCGAAGUUUGGAAUGACUAUGAGCUGUAUCAACAAUCCUGAAAGCCCUUAUUCAUUGGAUAUCCAGUUGAUCUAACGUUGUCUCUACUUUUAUCAGGACUUAAUUGGACUUAGUCUCUUACCUUGGGAGUUGGAAUACAUUGGACUAGACUUCUUCUUCGAGCCGCACAAGACACUGCACUUUUUCAAAGUAUGAUUCCUUCCUACUCUCUUCCCUUCAGCCUUUAAAAGAAACUGUGGAAAAGGCUAUAGGUAGAAGUGAUAUGAGGGAUGUCGCGUAAACCCGCUCAUACUUCGGAUCUCAUGGAUACUCGAAUAAAAAGAGUUAUAAAAAAAAAAAAGCAGAAAAGAAAGAAAAAAAAAGAAUCGUUGAAAAAAUAAAAUGAUACCCUAGAAAAGUAGGGAGAUGUCGAUUACCUUAGAAGUGAGAAAAGGGAGAAGAAGUGAAAUCAUACGAAGAAUGUCUUGGUUCGAGAAGAGUCCAUAUGCCAUUGAUCGAUAUUCCCUCGGUAAGAAUUCAUCUUUACUUGUUUUAAAUUAUGUAAAGA